rnacentral:lncRNA from 1 species
GAUCAGCCUACAUGGCUAGGAAUACCUCUGAAUGCGCAAAACUUGUUUACAGCUAGAGAGGACUAUACCAAAAUAGCGGAGAUCCUUCUCCUCCUAUAGAGAGGACUAUACCAAAAUAGUUUAUCUAGCUUCACCACUUAGAAUUAUGCCAUGGUUGGAAAAUUAUUAAAAUCUUUUGGUCACAAUUUUCCCAUUUUUAGUAUGAGAAUAGUCCUUCUUAACUAACAGGGUAUGUAUUCCUGGUUCAUCAGGCAGGAAAAGGAGAAAAGGUUCUCAGAAGGGUAAAGAACAUCCUCUGCAUGUGUGUGAUUAGCCAGUUAUACUAUAUAUCAUAAAUAAAAUUGGAAAAAUGACUGCUACAUCCUACCCUACUUUUUAAACACUCCUGCCUCACCUGUCAUCUUUGACUUUCAAUAUUCCUUUGGGAUUUUAGAAAAAGGAAGUGAUGGAGUGAUGGGAAAGAGGUGGAAAAUUAAGAGGAGUGGCUUGAUAUGUUCUUGGAUAAUCUACCCAAUAGUGUUCAGUUUCCUUAUCCCCUGCAAAAUAAUAGAGAUGAAACAGAAGCUGUUGAUUCAAACUUUCUGUAUCCAUAAUAAUGAACCAUCUCCCACCUACAUGCUCACAAAUUUCCAAAGGCAAGAGACUCUAUGGAGUCCUCAUAAAUGUCUCCCUUCCUUUUAUUGGUUUCAUUUGAACUGCAGGAAAAGCAUAACAUUAAAAACUUUUGCUAUUUGAUAUAGCAUACCUACAUGUGCUGAACACAGAGCCAUGCACCUCCCGUGGACUGUCUUAUUUAAUCUUUACAACAGCCUGAGAUACAAAUACUCCUUUCCCUGGUUUAUACAUUAAGAAAGAGGAACAGAGAACUUAAGUAACUUCUCCAAAUUUAUUCACCUGGUAAGUUAUAAAGUCAGUGUUUGAACCCAGGCAGUCAGACUCAGGAGACGUACUCUUAAACCUUAUUCAAUACUGGCCCCUUGUCUACUAUUCAUUCUAUGAAUAUUUAAUAUGUGUAUAAUAUACAAGACAUUCUUGUGGAUUGUUUUACGUCUUGCAGCGUUUCAUAGCAUUUAAUACACCUGCAGUUCAUUAUUUUAUUUUGAUACUCAAUAUUAGGAUCUACUAGGUAGGCCAGCUGGAGAGUACAACUUCAUAUGUGUAAAAACUAAAGCGCGAAGGAUUUGAAUUGAUCAGUGUCUCAAAAUUAAGAAGCAACAAAUCUCAAACCUAAAUCUUUUGACCCUAGUCUACAGUUCUUUUCAGACCAGUAAAAUGGAUAAUGAUACAUCUAUCAUCAUAACACAUGAAGGGAAAAGUAAAUAUGAUCACAAAGUGAUAUGCUGAAUUAAUUAAAGACUGAAUGCUAGAGCUAGGUUGUUCACUUGAAAAUCUUGAGCAGAUUUUACAGUAGUCUUUUUUAUUGCUAAUAAUCUUGAGUAGAUUGUAAACUAUCCUAACAUCUCAUUUGGUUUGGGUAAAGUAAGAAGCUGGCAGUUGUAAGUAAUUAUAAAAAUUAGAAUAACAGAAGUUUGUGUACAGUAGAGACUGUUAAAGUUACUGUCUUCUUAUGGCUAAUUAUACAGUUAUAGGAACAACAUGAAGCAUUCUGGUGCUUCUUUUUCCAAAGAUAGACGUAUCUAUCACAUACACAGCUGAUUAUAUAUAGUGAUGAGAAAUCUGUUGUUUCCUACCAACAUCAUUAAGGAUAAAUUUUCUUGUCUCUUACCAUUUGCUUCUAUUAAACUUAAUCCUUUUGGGGCUAUUAGAGAGGACUAUACCAAAAUAGAAGAAAUCCUUCUCCUCCUACAGAGAGGACUAUACCAAAAUAGUUUAUCUAGUUUCACCACUUAGAAUUAUGUCAUGGUUGGAAAAUUAUUUAAAAUCUUUUGGCCACAAUUUUCCCAUUUUUAGCAUGAGAAUAGUCGUUCUUAACUAACAGGGUAUGUAAAAUAUACUGCCUAGUAUAUAAUACUCAAUAGUACAUAUCAUUAUUAUUAUCACUGUAUAUAUAUAUAUAUAUGUAUAUAUAUAUGCACACACACAGACACAGUUCGUGCUCAAUAUAUAAUAACUCAUUUAUUUAUAAUAAUCUAUUCUGGAAUUCAAACCACUAUCAUUUUGCAGAAGGUAAAGUUUGUUGUUAAAGCCGUAUUUCGCUUUCUUUUUAUUAUUUUUUAAAUUCAUACUGAGGUAUAAUUGGUUUACAGUAUAAUUUAAGUUUUAGAUAUACAACAUGGUGUUUGACAAUUUUUAAAGGUUAUACUCUGCUUAUAGCUAUUAUAAAAUAUUAGCUCAAUUCCCUGUGCUGUUCAAUAUAUCCUUGUAUCUUAUUUAUUUUAUACAUAGUAGUUUGCAUCUCUCAAUCCCCUCCCCAUAGCUUGCCUCUUCUCCCUUCCCUCUCCCCACUGGUAACCACUAGUUUAUUCUCUGUAUCUGUGAGUGUGUUUCUCGUUAUAUUCACCAAUUUGUUUUAUUAUUUAGAUUCCACAUAUAAGUAAUAUCAUAUAGUAUUUGUAUUUCUCUAACUUAUUUCACUAAAUAUGAUAUCCUCUAAGUCCAUCCAUGUAGUUGCAAAUGGCAAACUUCAUUUUUUUUAAUCACUAGGUGGUAAUCCACUGUGUGGUGUGUGUGUGUGUGUGUACACCACAUCAUCUUCAUUCAUUCAUCUGUUGUUGAUGGAUACUUAGGUUGCUUACAUAUCUUGGCUACUGUAAAUAAUGCUGCUGUGAAUACUGGGGUGCAUGUAUCUUUUCAAAUUAAUGUUUUCUUUUUCUUUGUAUAUAUGCCCAAGAGUGGAAUUACUGGGUCUUAUAGCAGCUCUGUUUUCAGUUUUUUGAGGAACCCAUAGUUCACUUUCUUAUAUUCCUUUUCCUUCUGCAGAGCACUUCUCCCAAGCUAGUAAUAUAAAAUAGUAAUGUGUGAUAAAAAAACAUAGAUGUGGAACCAGACAUACCUGAGUAUGAAACUUGUCCUUGCUCUGAGUUGCUCUAUGUAUAUGAGUGGCACAUUUAACUGCUCUGAAUCUCAGUUUUCUCACCUGAAGUCAAAAUAACAAUGAUGGCACUUUAUGACUAUUGUGAAAAUUAAAUUAAAUGCAAAAAAAUGUAGCGCAGUGUAUGGCUUUCAAUAGAUUUUUGGCAUAGAUUUGGUCACUUUUUCUUUUGACCUUCUUGGAUCCUUAGAUAUAUUGUACUAAAUUCCUUUGUUUUCCUAACCAAAUCAUUUCAUAGGUCAUUUAAUCAUAGCAAUGUAUAAAUCGCUAAGUUACAUCCCCAUCUCCACCACUCCCCUGCCCCAGGUAGAGCCACCUAUUGUCUGAGUCAGGAAGAAAAUGAAAGAGGUGGAGCCAGGCUUUGGUACCCGCCCCCCACUUAGACUCUGUACUCCAGCCAUAUUAGACAAGUCACUAUUCACCCCUCUUUUAAUUCACUGAACCCCUGGAUUAUAUUAUUCCCUCUUCUAAGAAUAUUGCCUCAUUUUUAUCUUCCUAGUGAUUUCCUUUUUCUUUUGUUCCACUAAGACCCUUCUUAUAUGGUACAUCCUGUGAGAAGGCAUUACCAAUUACACACGCACACACACACACCGCUCAAUGUUACAGCUACCUGAACUUAACCACAUUUGAGGGUAAUCAUUCUAAAAUGCAUGACUUAACCAGAAAAUUCCAAGCACCAUUAAUGUCAUUUAGCCUUUUCUUCGUGAUCCAGGACAGUCAUUAUGGACCAGGUUUUUUGGACAGCAUGGUGAAAGGCUGUCAGCCAUCACCUCUGUUCAUAUUUUACCUGCUUCAGACAGCUUCUGACCUUUUCUGGUUUGCUUCUACUAAUCUAUCAGAGGCUGAGAAGCCAGAUAACUAAGCUUUAAAAGAAUUGCAUAUUUAAAAAGACAAUAAAGUUCCUCAUGAAUCCCUAAGAGCCUUAAUGCAGUGCUUUGGGGCAGAUAUUUCAGGCUUCUCUGAGGCCUUUAUCAGAGACUUCUGACAAACUGGACCUUCUGGAUAAGUGGGGAGUUACUGUAUUUUAAUCUAUUAAUGUCUGCUUUAAGGAAACAUAGAAUAAAAAAAUGUAGAUAUAAACAGAAUUUAAAUUAGAAAGCAAGCACAAACCUACCUAAGCUAUUUAAAAUAUAAUUUAAUAUAAAAACAUUUGGUUUAUAACCAGCUUUUCCAUUACGGAGUUGAGAAGUAAAGGGCCCAGCAGAUAAGAAUAAUGAACAAAUUGCUAGAUUAUCCUCUGCUUACACUUCAAAUAAACCAGCUAAUUGUUUAUUUAUUUGCCUAGCAGUUGCUGCCUGAUUAUAGGCCAUUAGUGACCAUUAAUAAAUGAAAUUGCGUUUUCAUUUCCCAAAGCAAUUUUGAAUUCCAUAAAUCUUGCAUUUCUCAUUAAAGAUGUUCAGUUUUACACAUGCUUGAUCAACAAAUAUGAUCAAGGCCUACAGUGCAACCUUAAAAGUAACAUGGGACUUUUAGAACAAAAGCAACAGAAAGAUAAUUCAUGAGGUUUCUUACUGUUUCCCUCUGAUGGGGAUAUUUGUCUUUAAAUGUAUAUUACUGGAAAACCUGAAAAUUAAAAAUGUUAAUAUAUAUUUGCUCUUCACUACUAUUAUGAAUAGUAGUAGUAUUUUGUAUGCAUAUGAGCACUUUAUCUAUGUAAAAUGUUUUAAUAUGUAUCAUACUUGAUGUAAUUGGAUAUUUCCCACAUUUCAUAAAAAGGAAAAUUGAGGCUUAAAGUAUUAUUAUUUUUGGAGUUCCCAUCAUGGCUCAGUGGUUAACGCAUCUGACUAAGAACCAGGAGGUUGUGGGCUCAAUCCCUGGCCUUGCUCAGUGGGUGAAGGAUCUGGCGUUGCCAUGAGCUGUGGUGUAGGUCGCAGACUCGGCUCGGAUCCCACGUUUCUGUGGCUGUGGUGUAGGCCAGCGGCUACAGCUCCAAUUAGAUCCCUAGCUUGGGAACCUCCAUAUGCCGCUUGAGUGGCCCUAGAAAAGGCAAAAAAG